GUUUCUCAGUGAAGAUUCUUUUUUACCUACAUUGUAUGAGUAACAACUGUGAGAAUAUGAAUUAUAAUCAGAGAGAAAC